GGACUGGUGAGUAACGCGUGAGGAACCUGCCUUUCAGAGGGGGACAACAGUUGGAAACGACUGCUAAUACCGCAUGACGCAUGAUCGGGACAUCCCGGACAUGCCAAAGAUUUAUCGCUGAAAGAUGGCCUCGCGUCUGAUUAGCUAGUUGGUGAGGUAACGGCCCACCAAGGCGACGAUCAGUAGCCGGACUGAGAGGUUGACCGGCCACAUUGGGACUGAGAUACGGCCCAGACUCCUACGGGAGGCAGCAGUGGGGAAUAUUGGGCAAUGGACGCAAGUCUGACCCAGCAACGCCGCGUGAAGGAAGAAGGCUUUCGGGUUGUAAACUUCUUUUAAGAGGGAAGAGUAGAAGACGGUACCUCUUGAAUAAGCCACGGCUAACUACGUGCCAGCAGCCGCGGUAAUACGUAGGUGGCAAGCGUUGUCCGGAUUUACUGGGUGUAAAG
rnacentral:rRNA from 1 species